UCUCUACUUGCGUAGGCAGUCUCGCCAGAGUCCUCAACUGAAUGGUAGCAACUGGCGACAGGGGUUGCGCUCGUUGCAGGACUUAACCUAACACCUCACGGCACGAGCUGACGACAACCAUGCAGCACCUUGGAAGCGGCCCGAAGGAGGGCCUAUUUCUAAGCCUGUCCACUCCCAUUUAAGUCUUGGUAAGGUUCCUCGCGUAUCAUCGAAUUAAACCACAUAAUCCACCGCUUGUGCGGGCCCCCGUCAAUUCCUUUGAGUUUCAUUCUUGCGAACGUACUCCCCAGGUGGCUAACUUAUCACUUUCGCUUAGUCUCUCAUGACGAAUCACAAAAAACGAGUUAGCAUCGUUUACGGCGUGGACUAC
rnacentral:misc_RNA from 1 species